CCAAGGAGUCUAACACGUGCAUGAGUCAUAGGGUUUCCCUCGAAGCCCGAAGGCCCAAUAAAAGUGAACCUUAGGCGGGAUCCCCGUAAAGCCGAUUUUUUUCGGCAGCAACGGGGGCGCACCGCCAGCCCCUUUCGUUUGGUCAGCUCGUUGUUUCACCGCGGCGGGUCGGCGGAGGCGGAGCGAGAGCGUACACGUUAGGACCCGAAAGACGGUGAACUAUUCCCGGACAGGACGAAGCCGGAGGAAACUCCGGUGGAGGUCCGUAGCGAUUCUGACGUGCAAAUCGAUCAUCGGAUCCGGGUAUA
rnacentral:rRNA from 1 species